AUUGAACGCUGGCGGCAGGCUUAACACAUGCAAGUCGAGCGGGGGAAGGUAGCUUGCUACCGGACCUAGCGGCGGACGGGUGAGUAAUGCUUAGGAAUCUGCCUAUUAGUGGGGGACAACAUCGCGAUAGGGAUGCUAAUACCGCAUACGUCCUACGGGAGAAAGCAGGGGAUCUUCGGACCUUGCGCUAAUAGAUGAGCCUAAGUCGGAUUAGCUAGUUGGUGGGUUAAAGGCCUACCAAGGCGACGAUCUGUAGCGGGUCUGAGAGGAUGAUCCGCCACACUGGGACUGAGACACGGCCCAGACUCCUACGGGAGGCAGCAGUGGGGAAUAUUGGACAAUGGGGGGAACCCUGAUCCAGCCAUGCCGCGUGUGUGAAGAAGGCCUUAUGGUUGUAAAGCACUUUAAGCGAGGAGGAGGCUACUUUAGUUAAUACCUAGAGAUAGUGGACGUUACUCGCAGAAUAAGCACCGGCUAACUCUGUGCCAGCCGCCGCCGUAA
rnacentral:rRNA from 1 species